GAUAAGGUUCGCUUAACGCGAUUAGCAAAGGGAACGGGGUGUAAGUCCCCGACUGUCUCGCAGCUGUGAACUCCUUUAUCGCCAUUGGCACGAUGCCACUGCCCAUUUGGGCGGGAAGGCGCCAGUUGGCGGGAGUGUAGUCAGAAGACCUGCCUUUUCA
rnacentral:ncRNA from 1 species